UGGUGGAGUCAGUGAUGUCCAAGUUGUAGUGAAGACCCUGGGGAUCGUAAUGCUCGUCAGCACCGUGUUGAUCUUUGAGUGGUGGUUAAGAACAAGAUUUUCCACCAAACCAGUGAAGGACACAGUCGAACUCAACCACCUCAACCAUGUGAUCGAGUAGGAACCAAACCAAGAUGUCGACUAGUUGAAGCUGACUGUUAGCCACAGUUGAUGCUAUAUGUAUGCACAAUAUAUUUAGUCACAAUCGCUGGUUUUGCCACUUACAAG